rnacentral:lncRNA from 1 species
ACUUCAGUGGUAGGCAGCAGGCAUGAAUUCAAAGCUUGCAGAAGCACUAUCAUGGCUGGUUUUCCAUUUGGGGAAUUCAUUAAAUGCAACUCUGUGUGUAUCUGUUACUGGCUUCCUUUAUUCAGACAAGUGGGACUCCAGAGGAAGGAAGCUGAGUUUGGAAACCCCAGAACCCUCUCCAUGGUCUUUUCCCACCAUGCCCUAAAAGUCUCUAAAGCAGCUUUUCCCUUUUGUUCUGACUGUACCCAGUGAUCUCCUAGGACUGCUGGAAGCCAGCUGUGUGGCAGGUGCAGCUGUAUUACUGGUGGCUUUGUUGUUGAGGAGAGAUGUGGGCUUUGAGCAUCUUCAUCCCAUUAUGACUGUUUAAAUACUAACUAUAAAUUGAUUUGUAGAUGUCGGGAGAGAGUAAAGGACAGAAAUCAUAUCAUCAUAUUUUCUUACUCUAGAACGUUGAGUGUAAGUACCAUGGCAAGAUUUAUUUUUUAGUGUACUUUACAUAAAACCAACAUUAUUCUUACUAACCCACAGUUAAAAACCCUCCCCCCAUCAAGAAAAAUAACCUCUGACAUCAUUGUUCCGUGUCUUCUAAACUAUCUGCAUCUUAGUGUUUUAUUGUUUUGUCUGUGCUUAAACCAAACCAGGCAGGGUACACACAUUGAACCAGAGAAGCCUGCAGCUGUUUCAGAGGAGAUCCCUGGAAAACAUGUUUGUGUUCCUUAAAAAUGACCACAUCCAGAAUCAUCUCAGAUGAAGCUGUUGGUCAUCAUUGCUUGUAAUUAUGACUCAGCUCACCAGGAGAGGAGGGAACAGGAUAUGGUGCUUGUGAUCUCCAAGGAUACUGUGCAGCCUGGCCAUUAGACUUCCACAGAAGUCCCAGUGCUGCUGUCACAGGAAUUCUGCCUCCUCCAAGUCUGGCUCGUGGGGCAGAGCUCUCCUAGGGAAUCGAAGCCUGGACCUGUGCACCUGCUCCUCCUAGAUUUGGACUAUCAGCCUGAACAGGAAACAGAGUUACCUACAUUUGGAGAUGGAC